CGCGUAGGCGGUUCGAUCAGUCAGAUGUGAAAGCCCAGGGCUUAACCUUGGAAUUGCAUUUGAUACUGUCGAGCUUGAGUGUGGUAGAGGAAAGCGGAAUUCCGGGUGUAGCGGUGAAAUGCGUAGAUAUCCGGAGGAACAUCAGUGGCGAAGGCGGCUUUCUGGACCAACACUGACGCUGAGGCGCGAAAGCGUGGGGAGCAAACAGGAUUAGAUACCCUGGUAGUCC
rnacentral:rRNA from 1 species